ensembl:lncRNA
GGCGGAGCGGAGAGGAGAGGAGAGGAGCGGGCGGCGGGGUGAGCUCAUCCCGGGCGCGGAGCGCAGCCGAGCGGCGCGGAGGGCGAGCCGCCGCGGCAACUUUCUUGGGCUGACUUCGUUGCUUGCUGCAUCUCCUGAGGGGUAAACAUUAACUCCAGCCUGCAAGAAGAUGAAGCAAGAACUGAUGAGAAUGUGUUCCACCUAUAAUCAAUCACUCUUGCUUAUUUUUACGUUGAGGUGAGUACUGUGUGGUUUUUUUAUGUUAUGAUAAUGGUGUUCAGUUAAGUUAUACAUAGACAAGUCCAUCUUACAUGUAUUUGUUGGACAUAAGCAUUUCACUUCUGGAAUUUUACUCAAUGACAGUCUGGUCAUUUGAAAAUUAAGAGAGAAAUUGACUUUUAAAACAAACAAACCCUGAAGUAGCUCUGCGCAUCUAGGUAUGUGAGACUAUUGCUGUAACACUCCUGAGAGACUAUGGCAAAGGAUAUCUUAAAUGUAAGAGGAAGGUUUUUUUAGAGAGAGAAGAAAAGCACAGAAAAACCCACUGGUGGUUUCUGUUAACGUCUCGAUCCAGUGAAUUUUUCAAGUGCCAUUUAAAAUACCAGCUUCUUCAGAAUCAAGUAUGUAGGUUGCUCUGAAAUUAAUGCCUCUGAUUUAUUUCCAUGGAAAUACAAAUGUAUACAGAGAGCACAGUAGCACUAUUUGAGAGGGCAAAUUCUCAUCUUUAAAACACUGUUUUCCAACAUAGUCACCAUCAUUACCUAUGCGUUUUUUCCAGCAACAGACAAGAGCCUGCAUGCCUUGCUCUUAAAAGUCGGCACCAAUGUAGGUGACCCAUUAUUUCACAGCUGCUGUGAUGGCACUGUUGCCACGAAAAUAUUGACUAUGCUGUCCAUCUUUCAUCAGUCCAAACAGAUGGAAGUCAGAAGGCACCAAGUAUGGACUAUGAAGUCACUGGGUGUGGUAGGACAGUCCAGCCAAGACUGGCAAUGUGCUUCGCAAUCUUCAAACUGGUAUGGGUCCUGCUGUUCUUGUGUUGCAAGAGAAAGGUUGUCUUCUUCUCUGGCCUGACUCUGGAAGUUUGAGCCUUGAGCUCAUGAUGCAUCAGUCGGAGUUGAUGGCUUGUUGGGUUGCAGGAAAUCCAGAAAGAUGACCCCUUUCCUGUCCUAAAAGACAGUGUACACUGCUUUACCUGCUGAGGGCUGUGACCUGAACUUUUUCUUCAGUGGGGAAUUCACGUUUCCACUCCAUGGACUGUUGUUUUAACUCUGACUCAUAGUGGUGACAUUGUCCCAUCACCAGUAAUGAUGUGAUCACCUUCAGUCCUGUAUUGGUUCAGUAGACCCUGACAAACUUGUAUAUGAUUUUCUUUCCGUUCCUGUGUAAUUGUGGGACCCACUUGGUGCAAAAUUUGUGAUAUUCCAAUGUUGCCACCAUUACUUCCAAUGCAUUGAAGCUGAUAUUCAUCUCUAUAUGCAGUUGUCUGGUUGUAUUCUGCCAAUUUGUGUGGAUGAGCUGAUCGAGACACUCUUUGUUUCAUGGUGUGACAGCUGUGAGUGGCUAGCUGGAAUGUUGCUUGUCUUUCAGUUUGCUGUUGCCACUGCUGAAACAUACCACUCCCAAAGUGAGAGCCUGUGCUCUCACCCACUGUUUGGUCUCUGUAAGUGUUCAGCAAGUAUUGGUGAAUGUCAGUAGGUGCAGAUUUUUCCACAUGGAGGAAUUCAGUGACACACCUUUGCUUCAUAUGUACUUCCAUGUCAGACACCAUUCUGUCAGACUCCCCUCUGCUGCCGUCUGUCACGUGGCACGAAAUGUAAUGGAAUAGCUGGGGGAAGGUUCAAGCUCUACUGCUAUACCACCAUCAUCCACCUUUGAUGUCAUGGGCCAAUAAAAUGGGAGGCAUUACUUUUGAAGCAAAACUCGUAGUUCAGAACUGCUUUACUCUGCUUGUUCAACUGGCUGUUCCUGCUGUGGGAUGUGAAUGGGGGAUGUGUUCAGCAGGCAAGUGUUCAAACUGAUUGUUCAGCUAAAGGAUGAUCUUGCCAAAAGGGCUUUUUGUGUUCAGAACAAAUUGCACAAAUUGAUUCCUUUUGUAUACCUAAAGGAAUAUUGAAGCGUAUGGCGCAUCCGUAAUUGAACUUGCCGUGUAGUUACAUUGACUUUCACAGUUCACUCUGCGAUACGCAGACUGAAUUGCUUAUAUCAGGCAUGUCCAGCCUGUGGGCUGCGUGCAGACUGGCAUAGCUCACAAUGCGCCUGAGAAUGACAACCACUUCCAUUGAAUUGGACUGAAGCGUUACUUUUGCAAAAGCAAGGUCAGAUAUCCUGCUAGUUCUUUGGUUUUAUUGUUCUCCUUUCUAUACGUUUUAAUAAGAACAUUAAAAAUAAAAUCAGUUUUGUUACUUAAAUACAUGAGCUAGAGUAUAUAUAUUUAUGGGGGCAGAUCUGAAAGUAAUGCCUCCUAUUUUAUGAUGUUGGCCCGCUAUGUCAGAGGUAGGGUGUUUGUGGUAUGGCAGUAGAGGUUGAACCUUCCCAACAACAUUCCGUUACAUUUUGGUGCCAUGUGACAGAUGGCAGCAGAGGGGCAGUCUGAAAACAUGACAUCUGACGUGGAAGUGUAGAUGAAGCAAAGGUGCAUCAUUGAAUUCCUCCAUGUGGCACCCACUGACAUUUAUUGAUGCUUGCUGAGUGAUUGUAGAGACCAAGCAGUGCAUGUGAGCACAGUGGAGUGGGUGGUGUGUUUCAGCAGCGUGACAGUGGGUCAUCUCUGCUGGUGCAGAUUUCUGCAUGCACAGCACGCAGGCUCUUGUUCAUCGCUAGUGAAUAUGUGUCGCUAAUGGUAAUGACUGUGUUGAAAAAGAGUGUUCUGUUGCUGAGAAUUUGCUCUAUUAAAUAGUGUUAUUGUGCUCUUUGUAUCUGUUAUCAUUUCCAUGGAAAUAAAUAGGAGACACUAGUUUGAGAGCAACCUUCACAGUGCAACCCUGGCCAAUUCACUUCACUCAGUGUGUCCCAGGCAAGGGAAGGUUUGGUGUUCUUGGCAUAUAUGGUUACAGCUGUGGUUGAAAUCUCCUUGGUAAGGUUGGUUACAAGAGAAGAAUUUUAGAUUUCUUUUUAUAAUGUUGUUGCUGAAAAUAUCAAAUCUCCAACUUCCAGUAUGAUUUAAGUGAAAAACAGUCUUUGUUUAUAUUAACUAUAUUAACCAGAUAUUAACUAUGGCAGGGAUAAGAUUAUAAAGAUUUUUGUGAACCUACAGUUGUAUUGAGGAAUUGAUGAGCAGGAUAAGAGUUCAUUGAGCUUGCACUUGCUUGUUACUGUAAUGCAGAAUGAAUUGCUCCUGGUGUGCAAGUGGAAAGAACAGAGGAAAUUAUGAAGGGUAAAAGCCAGCAAGCAAGUCCAGCCUUUUUCUAUUUCAGCAUAGGGUGAAAUGUUGUUGUUUGAAUACUUCAGGCAGUGAAGUGGUAGUGGGCAGGCAUGAGGAGCUUCCACAAUACAGACCUUCAGUGACAGAAUACUGAGUUUGUGAAGGGAUUGUAGAUGUAUUUUCUGGCAUGUGUUUGUUCUGAAAUCUAAGAAUAUGAGGUGCAGUACUGGCUGUGAAAGCUGUUGGAAGCAGAGCAUUUCUUAAAAAUUGGUUUUAGUCAUGGCUGUUAGUACGGAGUAGCUUUGGGGAGUUGGUUUGGUUUCAAAAUAUCCUCAAAGGAUUUUCAUUUGAACUUGAGAAGCUUUUUAUCUUGUCAGGUCUUAAAGUUUUGGCUGAUAAAUUUUGUGGCACGCAGGAAGAAGCUCACAUUGUAAAGAAACUUGAAGAGGAGUCAGUUGAGAAGGAAAUCUCCUGUUCCUUUUGAAGAUCAAAUCCAUGGAGUGCAGUUAGACCAUGUCUGGAUUUUCUGUGCUAUUUCUUUUGCUUCGUAGCUGUUUCAUUGUAAUAGUUUCUGACCUCCUACUGUGGAGGAGUUUGUUGUUUAUGGAAUGGAAAGCAGAAUGACUUCAAAAGACAAACAAACAAAAUGAACCAAACAAACAAAAACACAAAAAAAAAUUGGUAAGUGUUUGGAAGGGCCUUGAUGGACAGGAAGGAUCAUCUUACCGCAAAAUUGAUUCAGUACAGUAACUCUAUAUAGACUUCAAGCUCUUUCAUUUCUACCCAAGGAAACUUAACUUUUUUUUUCCAUGCAAUUCCAGAUUGGUUUUGGCUUAAAUUUCAUGGGUUCGGCUUAAUAUUUUUUAAACAUAAAAUUCUUCUGUGCUUGACACAAUGGAGAGCAGGCAAAUGCGAUUUGCCCUGUAUGCAGGUGUAUUUCAGCACGUUUCCUGGAAAGGAUAGCUGAAGGAAGAAGGAGAGUUGUCAUUUACUGUGGAGUUCCAGGUAGCCAGAAAUAGCUUAGGUUCUCUUUUCUUCUGAGAAGUCCUUCAAAAGGUCCUAGAGUAUUGAGUUCAGUCAUUCUUCUCUAAAAUGAUUUACACUUUCUUAGUUAGAAUUUGUGUUGGUUUUGAUAGAAGAAUUUUUUUUGUGAAUUUUCAGCAUUUCUGAGGUACUUGUCGCCUAACCUAAGCUGCUCCGGGAGAACCUGCAUUAAUCUAUUGCAUGAAGGAGGAUCAUUUUUUCUGAAUGGUAGUGAGCACAUUUCGGAUGCCCGAAGUAACAGAAUGUGGCUUAGAAAACCAUUUUUUUUUCUUUGCUCGCUCUCCUUUGCAGUUUUGAUGCAAGGUGAUGUCUCCUAAAACAAUUUGUUUGACAGCUGAGGAAAAGGACUGAUGACUUGCACAGUGCACUUCACGAUGCACUGGAGUCCCCUGCUUGUCACACCUAUACCUGAAAUUGCAUUAUGACUGGUGUUUGUCACUGAAGGUGCCUGCUCCAGGAGCCUUGACUUUCCCCUGCUCUGCAUGGGACCUACCCCUCAGGUACAUGGCUGCACCAUGCAGCACACUGCCUUCUGCUCUCAGAUCUGCUUGCUCAACUGAGAAAGCAGCAGAAAGGAGAGAGGCUGCAGGAUGGUUGCUCAUCAAACCACAUCCUAAAGGUGGUGUAGCAACUUGAGGUGUAUGUUGCCAUCCCUUAAAGACCAGCAAAGCUGGUAAGCGCUUUGGAGAAGGGUGAAUCAAGCUGAAAAUAAGUCAAUUACUUGAAAGCUGGUAUAGCCUUCAUUUGUAAAACAAGCAGAGUAUAGGUUUUGCAAGUAUAGAGAAGAAGCUGUCUCAUCUUCUGAGUGAUUUGCAACUACAAUAACUCUUCUGUAGUUCUUUUUUUUUUAUACCUGUCUGUGUUCAAAUGAGGGUGCUGACUGAGGCUGCUGUGGGUCGUUUUAGACACUAGAGGCUGAGCUGAGACAAACAGACCCUUUUCUUUUUCCCCCCCCCCUCUCCUGGGGUGCAUCACUCCUUUCAUUUCUGAGUGCAGUUCUGAGAAGAAAAAAGCCUCAAGAGCAUCAGUGGUUUGAUGUAUUUAUGAUUUUUCUGCAUGUUCCUGUUGUGAAGCCUACUGUUCUCUUUUUUUCUCUCAUCUUUCAAAACUGUAUUACAGCAGCAUGGCCAUUGCUACCAAUCUGUGCAGGGCAGAUUGUUUCUGUGAAUGCAUUCCAACAGGUGUGUUGUUUUUGUUUUCCUGCCAUUUAUUUUGCAAUUUAGUAUGAACACAGUACUUUACAUCUGUAUGUCAGUCCAGUUCGAACAAGUUCAGCUCAAGUAGUGGUUGAGUUGCGGUUUUGAAGGCAUGACUGCUUGGCAGCCUAUGUCUGUAAAUGCUUUGGUGCUUUCAGCACAUAAUGUUUUGGGGCAGUCAUAGUGCAAUUGCAUAAUCUUAAAUUAUGUGCUUUACAAAUGAGAGAUGAUUAUAAGGAUUGAAUGCGAGCAUGGAGCAGUUGAAAACUUGAUGCAUGAAAAAGAAUCUAAGCUCUUGUCAGUGCACCAUGCUUUUUUUUUUAAGAAAAAAAACAACCCAAUUUCUUUAUGAGGGCAUGUCUAGUUCAAUUUAACAUGAACCUUAUGAUGCCAGAGGAAUGUGAGAGAUUUCUUCCAGUUUUUGUAGGAUUUCCUUAAUGCAAUGCGUUGUUCAACGUUGUUGCACUUUGCUCUUCCCCUGCCCCAAAUGAUGGGCUGGAAACCAUUCAUUUAUUGUAAGGAGGAAAAUUAAGGGAGAGUUCUAGUAGUGUUCAGUACGUGUUUUACUCUAAAAUGAAUGAAACUUUUUUUAGGAUCUGAGAGUUGUUUUGCUUGUUGUUAAUGAAAGCUGUUCUCUCUGUAUCAGUUUUGGAUACUGUUCAAGUUAAGCCUUAGGUAGUGCUAAAACGGUGCCUAACAGUUCUUCACUAUUUGAGAAGAAAAUGUAAGAAAUAUUUGUAUUAUUGUAUUUCUUGUAAGUAUUUUCUUAGCUUCAGCACUGCUGGAGUUGGAGAUGACAGAUUUGAAAAUGUUAUAUUAAAAACUGUCUGUUUUCUGUGUAUUUGUGCUCCACCGCUUGAAUCAGAGUACAGUUUUGGCCUCGAUGUUGUCCAGUGGUUGCAUUCAUUAUGCAUUGUGGGGAAAAAAAAUGUUCUCAAAUUUGUUUUUCAACACUGCUUAUCUGUCUGGGAUUUCUCCAAUCCUUUUAUGAUGUAAUAUCAUGGAUAAUAUUUUCCACUUGUGUUUUUCACAUUGUUUAUGCUUUUAGCUCUCUUUCUUAUCUGUCCAGGGCCGUGAGUUCCCAGUAACUUUUGAUGUAGAAAAGCUGUACCGCAUCUCUGAUCAUUGGUUAUGUUUUCUGUAGUUUUUCUGCCUGAGCAAUAUGCAUACAGUUACAAACAGUAAUCAAGAACUGCUGUGGUACGUCAUAUGUAGUGGUUAUUUCUACUUUGUUUUCCUUUCUAAAAUACCCCAGUUUCUUCCCAUGCCUUUUGGUGAUGUGAAGCUGAUCUAUUUCAGUGAGCAAGUCUUUUCUGGAAGGCUAAAAAAUGUGAAGCUUCCUUAUUGUGAUGAUUCACUUCAGGUUUACCAGUGUGGGUCCAAGCAUGGACCCCAGACUGUUCGGUAUAUCUCCUCUUCUUUUUCUCUCCCCUGCUUACCAUUUGAGAAAGCUUAUUGCUUCUGCUCAUAUCUCGCUUCGUGUUUGUUGAUUGGUUAUAAUUUGCAAGUAAUUUUUUCUCUCUCAUUCUAUGGUUAUUUGGUUUCUUUUAAGAGCAUUUGAUGAGGGAUCUUGCGGAAAGCUCCUCCUGAAGCUCCGUGUGUGUUGUUGGAUGUGGUAUGGUAUAUUGAAUGAUUUUUGGACACUCAUCGUCUCCUUUUGCAGAUUGUGAGUGCAGAUCUGUGAAAGUCUGAGUGCUUUGCUGCGUAUCUUCUUCCAAAGAAGUGCUGUUCAGCUUUGAACAAGCAAGUAAAACAAGGUGAAUAAUAGAGGGUAUCUCUAAUAAGCAGAGCCAAAAGGCACACCUUGAAGUUGUGGCAAUGGCAUGAGAUAACUCUGAAUGCGUUUUAACCUGUUUGCAUUGUGCUGCCUUCAACCCGAGCUGCGGCACAGUAGAACUGGAAAUAUUUGAAAGACACACGUUCCCUGCCAGUUGCAAGCCAACCACACCCUGCCUUGGGUUUGCUACACGUAUAAAGGUGCAUUCUUAAUAUAGUAUAAACAGUUCCUCAUGGUUACUUUGUAAUAAGCUGGUUUAAUGAAGCCUUUUAAAGGAAUAAAUACUGUAAAACUCAGCUUUACCUAACAGGUUCCUUUGUUUGAACGCUUCCAGCUGCUGAAUAAAAUCUGCAAAUGCAGAGAAGCUGAAGCGUGCAAGAGGAGGAAUGCUCAGAAUAACUCUAGUCUGUUUGCCUGUGGAAGUAUUUCUCUGAGCCUUCUAGAAUACAUUAAAAAGCAAUCUCUGGCUGAGCUCUGGGGUUUUAAAUGCCAACUGGAAUACUUGUGAAGCAGUGCAUGAAUGAAGUUGUUUCUGAUAGCGUCUCCUGUUCUGUCUGCUAAUUCUCGAAUGAUAUGCUGAAAAAUUGCCUGAUAAUCCUAAUGUAAUUAGUGUUUCAAAGAUGGUAAUGUUCUUUGUAAGUUCAUUUUGCCUUUGUAACAGUAAUUGCAAAUACAGUAUGAAGCUCUGUAGUCCUUCUAAGAUAAGUCUGUUCUUCAGUACUCCAUUAAAAAAUGUCACAACUGCAGUAUAAACCAAGCAAAUCCACCAAAGUUUCACAGUGACAUCCGUAAAGAGAAAAUCCUCUUUUCUGACCUGUUCUUGGGCUUGAUUUGUUGGAAUAACAAGGGCAUUUAUUGCUUUUUAAUACCAAAGGUAAUGAUAUUUUUUUGGUCAGUGACUGCACUGCUUCUUAUCAAAGCACAGUCUUUUAUUUCUGGGUGCUUUUAAAGUUAGAUGAAUUCUUGCUGGAGGAAAAUACACAAGUGUUCUCUCAUGAUGUGCUCCUAAACACAAUUACGGACCAGUAAACAGCAUAAGGACAUAUUUGUAAUACAGUAAUAAUAAGCUGUGGGCUGACAGUAAGGGACUGAAAAUAAUCUGUGAAUUAACUGCUUUAACAUGGAAGCUGCUUGGAGGCAGAAUAGAUUUUUGAAUCAAGGCCCAUUUGCUGUGUUUCAGAGUGCCACCUGCCCUUCUUGUGUAGAGCAGCACUGUGUUCUACUGCUUCUUUCUUGUUGAGGUUGGGGAGGAAGUCCGAGGAGUUUGAUAGGACUAACCUACAUUAAAAAUAAUUAGAACUGUAGUUGUAUAGUGGCUCUUUCCUGAUUUUUAAAGAAACAAAACAACUUGCAUGUAGUGCUUUGUUGUAAUUAGGUUAAUGUAAGUAGCUAAUUACACUUCCAUUACAUUUCUACAGAGUUUUAAAACCAGAGAGGCAGGAUUAUCUUGGUACACUGUGUUACUGCGUGUAAUGAGGUGUAAUAAUAAAACAGUUCGGAUUUUGAAACUGUGUUCAGGGUGAAUUUUUUGUUUGUUUUCUUGGAUAUGAAACUUUGUGAGCUCGUAAGGAAACUUUAGUAAGAUCUUUGCAGAUGAGGAAGGUGUUAAUUGAAUUUGGUAAUAACGAUAAGUUGAAAUCGAGGAUGUCUCAGAUUGGCAGACUUAAUCGGGAAGUAAACACAACAUGCAUGCAGUGUUGUAAUACUGAGUGAGGUUGAUGCUCACAUGGUAUAUGAUUGUGGCAGUUGAAACUCUAGUUUUAACUUAAGUAAAAUGUGCUCUUGGGACUUUCUUCUGCAAGUUGUGGUUGGUGAUUUAUGAGGUUGAAAUACCAAGUAUUGUAUGUUUAGAGGCUGUCAGGAUCAUUAUUCUCUAGAAUUACAUGUUAAAUUUUAGGGAUAGCUUGUAAGGUUCUGAAAUUGGCAGUUUAGUAAAGCCAAAUGCUGUUUCUUUGUAAAUUUUCGAAGUGGUUCUGUUAUGUAAGAAGAAUAAACAUGUAAAAAUCAUAUGACUCAAAGCCUGCUAAAUAUACAUGACUCUUCUCCAGAGGUAAUCAGAAAGUGCUCUGUUAAAUAUUUGGGAGUCUUAUCUUUAUACUAAAGAUUCCUGACUUAAAGAAAAGCAGUGUAGUAUUCUCAGAUAUCUUUUAAUUUCUGGAAAGGUUCCAUUAUCAGGUAGAUUUAAAAGGGAAACUUUGUUAACCAUGAACUGUAGAAUGGUGAUACUGAAGAUUAUUUCUGUUACCUGAAGUUGGUAACAAACCAGGUUGAGAUCAGUACUGGCAAUGGGAAUUCUGAUUUUCCUUUCAUUUCUAUUUUCAGAUUUUGCUUUUCUAGGAUUGGUGAAUUUAUUUCAAACUUGAGAAUGGCUACAAGUGACAGCUUCACCAAAAAUUUGUUGUUUCUGAAGGGAAAUUUUCAAGCAUCUUUUGAGCUUGUAUGUGAACAGCUGAAUGAGUUGGUGCAGUGAUUUAUAUUUACAGUUGUACAUUGAGUUUGGUUAACAUCUUAUAUCUUGCUUUAUUGUUGCAAAAUUGAGUUUUCACAGCCUUUUUUCUCUAAUGUAACGCAGAAGCAGAAUGCUGAAUUGCAAAAAAAGAAUGCUGUGAUAGCACCUGUGCAUAAUAUAAGGGUGGUCUCAUUAAGCUAUGGGGGGGAGGGAGAGGGUGGAAAACCCAACAGAAUGGAUUGCACCUUUUGUACAGUUUACAUGUACAAGACUCAUCCAGAUCAUUUAUAUGUCUUGUAAAGCUCCAUUCUUCCUUUCCAGAGGCUGAUAGCCUGCCUCUUAGCAAUUCCCAUUGCACUGUAAAAUUUCUGCUUAUGAUGCAAAAAAACCCUCAUCCCUGUUUUCUGAUAAUAAUGGAACUAAAACUGAUCUCUACCACCUUUUCAGUCCUCUUGUUGCUACAGCAGGAUUUGUGGAAGAAGUUCUUGAGUUCACAAAGGGUGCUGUGUGUAUACUGAGCAGUAGAUGAGUGUGUUUGCUGGAAAGGAAAACUUUUACAUGGGUACCAUUGGACUGUCUUCAUUAGCCUUUGGGGCCAAAUAUGGUCCCAGAGUUCUCCCAAGAGUGUUAGGGAGACUGAGCAGCACGUGUUGCUACUCCUUUUCCUGCUGAGGGGCUAAUGCCAUGAGACUGAGUAAACAGGAGCUGCUCAGGAUGGCUCAGUUCACUGCUGUGCUAAGCACAGGCCAAGUAACAGGAUGGGUGGGAGAUGUUCUGGGAUUGAUUGGCAUAAAUGCAUGCUAUUCUGUGACCUGACAUGGAUCUCCUCAAUCUGGAGCUGCUGCUGAACUGUAAUGGGCUCUCACCUUCCGUUUUAGUGUGAUGAACAGCUUGUGAUGGCCAUGAGUAAGUGCUUGGAGCUUUUAUUUUUUGCCUUUGCUUUCAGCUGCCCACCUUCUCUCUGCAGGGAAGCACAUGGGUGGGACACAGCCCUGUAGCUUGCCGGAGAAUUUUUUAAUUUUGGUGUGUUGAGUAGGUGUAGAUCUUCUGGAACUGAAGAGCUUAAUUCACAUCCUUGUGGUAAGUUCCAGAUUUCAGGGAGUCAGCUUUUCAGGAAGCAGAGGAUCAGAGAUGCUGUGGUGUCUCUGCGGUGCUUUGGUUUGUAUGACUGACCCCUGCUCUGCUCCUACCAGAACUGUGUUACUCUGCAGACGAUGAGCUGAGCUGAUAUACCUUGAAACAGUUGCUGUGUGUUUAUAAGGGAAAUAGGUAAAAAAUUAAAGCUCGGACUUCUGCUGCUGUUCUGUUUUCCAGUUCUUUAUGAACAAAUCUCUGUGCCCAAGAAACAAUUCCUCAUCUGUUUCCAAUGUCAAAGGAUAGACAACGAGCUCUGAAAGCAGUAUUUACUUGUAGGAAUGUGAGACAAAUAUCUUGGACUGGAAUUUUCAAUCUACUUCUGCAUAUAUUGUCCAUGAAUGGUCUUAGUAUCUUCUCUACUCCUUUGUGGGUUUUUCCAGUUAAAACUGGAAAAAGUGUGAGGCCGUACGUGCUCUGUAAAUUUGUUGAGUUAGAAGACCUCUGAAGGCUUUGCUUACUCAUCAAAUGAAACGAAUUUCCAGAUGAUGGGUUCUGAUGCUUGCAGACAUUUUCAGUCUUAGGCUUCACUUUGGGGCAGUAUUUCCCUGGCGUCAGUCACUGCGCAGCACAGAGCUGCCUUGUAAGGAGCACUGAUGGCUUUGGAGGCUGCCAAAAAGUGUAUGUGGGCUGGCGGCAUGGAUGCCUGCGUUUGGGUGGGAUUUUUGAUGCCAGGAUUUAGCCACAAAAAGUGGAGGGGAAACAACAACACGGAGCCUGUUAUUUAGCACUAAAAAAAUAAGUAGUAAUAAGUACAUUAGUGUCUCAGUAUAGCGAUGCUGAAAUAUUGUAAAAAGCAAGAGAUUGCAUGAUACUGCUUGCCAUUUAGACACCUCAGCCUUUUUCAAAACACUUUGGACAAACAGGGUCACUCUCACAUUUCGGGGAAAAAAAUGUGUAGAAUAAGGAGGGAAAUUUGGAUGUGAAUAUUGUCCGGUGAGUUGACGCAAAGUAUUUUGGCUGUUAUCUUUAAGUGGAAUCUUGAAGUUACCAGGUGCUUUACAGUUCCACGCCUGAACUACUGCCUCCAGAGAGAGUAAUACCCAAAUUCUUUUGUUCUUCACCCAGAGUUCUAUGGUAGUUGUGCAAAGCACUCACAGUUUGUGAGCACGAGAGGUGGAGUGAAGGGCGAAUUGCCCAAGUUGCUGUACUAAUGCUAUAGGAUUUGUAGGAUCUGAGACUGUAAUGUUUUUAUUAAAUAAUUUAUUUCCUAGCACAUAGCUUUCUACUACAAAUCCUUGUUUCCCAAGUGAAAGUGCAUUAUUCUGAAACCAUGAUCACAAAAAUAAUUUAGCUAAAAUUUGGCAGCACGUCCUAAAGUGAAGCUGUAAAACCUGUAUUGAAAAUGAAAUUUCAGUCUCUGUGGAAGGUUAUGGAGCCAGUACAUUCCAGCCCUUCCUCAAAUGCACAUAGUGUUCAGCAGACAGCUGAGGCAGUGCUUGCAGUUCAGUGGAUGCCCUGUGUAGUUUAGCUGGGGUUUCAGCCAGAGAUAAAAGUGGAUCCAUUGAUGAGGGGAGGCUGCAUGGUGGAUGCAACCCAACACUGUGUUGCUGCUGCGUGGCGGCUUGCUGCUGAAUUACUCUGCAUGCCUUCUUGGCAAUGCUAUUAAAAGAUUCUCUUCCUAGACAGAGAAACACAUCAGCUGAAGGAUCUGCACAGACAUUUUCUUUGACUUCAUAGUUUUUUGGUUUUUUUGUGCUUUUCAGCCAAACAGCACAGUGAUUCACCUUGGACACUUGCUGUGUACUAGCGUGGACACAGCAGGAUUGAGAUCACAUGGCUGAAAGACAGUAUCUUUUGGCAACACAUGCAGCAUUAGAUGGUCCUAAUGAAAUGAAACUUCAGUAUUUUACUGCUUAUGGUAUAAGAGAAUGUCACUUUUGAGUAUCUCAAAGAAUAUUAAUAUGGCUAAGUGAGAAUCAAGCCUAAUUAAAUUAAAUUAUUCUGAAAUCUUUGUAGAAAAGCUUCUAAACUGUAAAUAACUCCCUUCCUUCCUUCCCUUUUCUCCUUAAAAAAAAAUUACACUAUUAUCUGCAGUUUAGUUGCAUUAACUUCCUUCUGUGCCUGAUCAUUAUUUUCAGAAAGCAGAGAACUAUGAUAAAUUGAUGUAUUUUUCAUAAUGUAAUAAAAUUAUAAGCUACAAAAGCAUGUAUUGGCUGGUCAGGCUUGUGCAGUUAAAGUAAAAAGUAAAAGAUUUGGUUCUCAUUCUGCAGUACUGACAAAUACAGCAUAUCAGCACAAAAGUGAUCUAUGAUUCAUUCUGUAUUUGAGUGAAUUUCUUCGAGAAUUGCAUGAAAGAGUUGCAUCAGUAUCUUAUCUCUUUCAAGAGGCAGUCAGCUUUUUCUACAUAUUGAAUUCUUUAUUGCCUUUAUAUUCCUGCAUGGUAUUUUGUUUUCCUUGUUUUAACUCCAUAAAAGAUGACCGUGUUAUGCAUUCACUAAAUGCCAAACAUUGCUUUUUACAAAAUGCACUGUGUAACUUGUUUGUUCCUGAGCUUCCUUAUGGAAAGGAUGUCCUGUGUUUGUUUACGUUCGUAGAUUGCUGUACUGUCUCGUAACUUUUGUGAAUGCCAUUGCAUUUUAUAUGCUUACGCAUGUACAGCAUGUAAGCGAUUUGAUGGUCAGUGAGUUAUCAGACUGCUCCUUAUAGAGAUGGCUUGAAAUGAGAACCGGACUAAAACUAGAAGCAGAUGUGAAGUAAAGUUAGCAAAUACUCCAAAACAAGUAACAUAUCCAAUUGGCAGGGUGUUCUGAGGGGGUAGGUGGUGUCUGCAGGGAGAAGGACGUGCAUAGGGCAGUUGAGAAGCUGCAAGCGUGUGUGCGGGCUCAGGGAGGUGCAGGGGGUUACAGCAGCAAUGGCUGAGCAGCCUCCUGCCUUCCUGCUCGUACUUCAAAACAAAGAAGUUGGACGAUCAGACUCUUCAGUGGGGUUUCUUUUAGGUACUUGAGGGUUCUCAUUUGGAAAAACAGAGUGAAAGACUGCCCAGGUUUUAUGGCAGGUCUCUGUCCUGAGCCUGAAAGUGAGUGGUUAAUGUGAAUCUCGUGAUCCUGUGUUGGGAGGAGAGUAAAGCAUGAGUGCUGGGAAAGGGCUACCGAAGUAACUUAUGUGCAAGUUGAGUUUCUGCUCAUAUGAAGCGGACAUAUGCAGAAAGAUGUUAGUACGUAUUCAUAGAAAUGAUGAUGAAUUAUGAAUAAGUAGUUUCACUUAUUUUUUUUCCUCUUUUUCCAGAACUGCAUUUCUCAAGCUGCUGAAGUUUGUUUGCCCAGCCCUUUGUAUAACUGAAUCCUGUAGUUGAUGCAGAAUUGCACACUAUCAGGCUGUGAAAUAGAAAAGGCAGGGAUGGUUUCUAGAUAAAUAUGAUAAUAAUUUUCCAGAGUGUGGACAUAAGUGCUACUGUAAAGAUCCUGCAGAUGCUCAUGAUUCGUUUAUUGAUCGUGAUGUAUUCUAUCCUGUUUGCAAAAGCACCAACAGUGAAAUGUGCUCCAACCCUGGCUUUGCAUGCACUGUUGCUUUAGGAAUUCAGUUUUGUUUCACUUCAGGAAGUAGAGCUGUAGCCUGUUACACCUCAGCAAAGACUAAAGUGACUUUUUGAUGGCGUGUGGCAGAUGAGGCUAUGUCCAGGGUGAUCUGCCCUCUAUGCACUAGUAAGGAGCAGUAAGGUACGAAAUCAAUAUACAGUGCUUAAGCUUGUUCUGAGAUGCUCUUGUUCAUGAACUUUCCUUGUUUCCUUGGGUACUUCUCAUGUUCUAGCCACACUUUGAUGGACUGUGAAAUAUUUUUAAGCUCUCAGUAGAUAUACUGCAUCUUCAGCUGCAGCGCUAACAUUUAAUAGCUCAGACUUGGACAAUGGUAUAACGAAUGUUGUAAUGUUUAUUAUGUUUUUGAAGUUUUAUUAAUGUGCUCACCCUCUUUGUCAGGUCACCAUAAAUAAAAGGGUGUUGCCUUUUAAUUUUAAGUUUAAUAUCUGGUAAAUUACUGCUGGGUAUGUGGUUGUUCUUAAAGUAUAAAACAUUAUAAAAUGGUGAAAAGGAGAGUUUGUCUAUAGAAGGCUUUAUUAGAGGCUACUUUCUGCCUCUCCUGAGAAAUUUUUAUGGAGAUGGAAGGGAUGAUGUGAAGUGGUUUACAGUGCUGGUUACUUUCAUUAGUCUGUGCUGCAGUUUUUUCACCUUAGGUGUUUGUGCGGGUGAGAAGUAUGUCUGUACCUGCUGAUGCAUACCAUUGCGGUAUUUCUCAGACCCUCAGACAAAGCAGGCAGACCAAAGGUGUCACUGGAUGUGGCCCUCCGCUUAUCCUGCUGCCGGCAGCUUCCCCUCCCCAUCUUCACAGUUUUAGCUGCAAAGGGGAGUGUGAGUGCUCUGUAUCUAAGGAGCUGGCUUAGCUCCUGUCUGGCUGAUUUUGCCCUGAGAAAGUUCAGUCUCACUUGUGAGAUCCUUGGUUGUGAGGGAGUGCUUUGGGAACUAAGCAUGUUCAAAACCCGUCUUGCCUGAGCUCUGAAUUUGUAAGGCAAGAUUUGGUUUGUUUUUCUCUCUUUUUCUGCCUCAAAUAGGCUCUCCUUUAAGUUCCUCCUCCAGCUCUGUAGGACACAACAGCAACAAGGGUCAGGUAAUCUCGCUGUGUGCAGAGGUGGCAACAGCUCUUCUUGGGAAAGCUGCGAAGUGCUCAGUUUUCAAGACUUUUUUCAAGAGACUUUUGUCUCCUGCUGUUUUCACGUUCAGGAAUGGAUUCGAUACUUAGAGUUAUUCAUUUUAUGUAGAGUUAAUUGAUAAAUAUUCAUCAGAGUAUUACUGAAUUGAAGACCGCACGGCUUUAUGUUUUUAGAGGCAUAUUUUCAUUCCUUCAUGCUUUCAGGAAAGGGAAGGACAAUGAAGUCUUCUCUUUAAAAUGAAGUUAAUAUCCCUUUCAGCACUUAGAGCUCCUACAAAUCUUGUGUGUUCCUGGACUCGAGCUUGUUUUAGCUGGACUGCUUUUUAGCACCGCUCUCCACAUGUAAUUAAAGCGCUUUGUGUGUUGUGCUUUGGUCCUAGUACAAAGAAAGCCCUGCAGCUUGUUCUAAGAGCAGUUUUCCCA